rnacentral:lncRNA from 1 species
AGUUUCCAUCAGUCUGUGGUUGGCUGCGGCAUUCACAGCAGCUGAAUCAGCCCUGCUGGGGGAAAGCCAGUGGUCCCGUCCGCUUCUCAGGGUGCCUCGCACUCCCUGGUGCGUGUUCCCCAUCUCUGCCCAGCCAGAUUCCUGGGAGCGUCUGCAGAUGGCUGUUCUGCACCAGCCGGCCGUGCCAGAAUGUCCUGGCGUACAGCUGGGUGGCCUCUUUGCCUGCAGAAGCUCAUGUGCAACCCUGACAUCUGAGGAACGAGCAGUUUCUGCUUUAUCAGGAGGAAUCUUCCUCUCGCUCUAUCACCCUCCUGUUCCGGACGCCGCUGUCAAUCUUCCCGGCUGGGCGCCGCAGGAGCGGAUGCCUCUCUGCGUCAGGCAUCCAGGGCUCUUCCUCUGCAAAACAGGAGGGGCCUGGGUUUCCCGAACCACGAACAGAUGUCGACGUGAAGGAGGCUCCCCACCUGCCAAGCCAACGGCCGGCUUCCUUUCUCAUCCUUCAGGGCUCUGAGUAACAAGACCUUUAGAAAAGCGUGGCAUGCGCGCUGCGGUUACCACUUUCUCCCAAGACCAGCUCCAUGAACUCCGGAGCGUGAGAAAUCAGCCGGCGGUGGCGUGUUCUAAGAUGAGAGGCAGAGGUGACAGGGAACCAACGUGCACAUCGCUCUGGAGGCCUGGCUUCCUGCAACCCGCUCAGAAGGACAGUGAGGACGGGUUGGGCGCCUGUCUUGAUGGAGAAACUCUUAGAAAUUCCUCUUGCCUUUCACAGCCUGACACCUGUUCAGGUGAGGCUCGAGAUGGCAGAGCUUCAGUACGUUUUUUUUGUUGUUGUUGUUCAUAAUAUUUUUACUUCUAAUACAUAUGUCUGGCUUCAAAUCAGAUACCUUCAGCCCUCCUAGAACCAUUGCAACCUAGGAGCUUCCUGGCCCAAUCAUGCUGUGCGGAGUCAUCCGCCCUCUGAUUUUAGUUGUUCUGCAGAAAUUAGCAGUAAUCACUCUAAAUAAUAAUUGUAGAUAUAAUCUGCUGACUUCUUGUUAUGGAAAUGAAGGGUUAGCUUUCUCUUCCUGUCUCCAGGCCCACUUGUCCCUCACUUUCGAGGAGAGUUCUUGUAUUUCUUCCUAUCUUAGCUGCAAAUGUUGAUGAAAUUUACCAUUAUUUUAUUAGGUGCCACAAUAGAAGAAGAAUGCUUCCAAUUACACCAUGAUAUGAUACUUUUUUAUCAUAACAACGUUAAGAUGUGUUCUGAUUUUCAAGACCUUACAACGGGGAAAACAUGGUUUUAAAAAUAUUUAUUAUGAGUCAGGACAUCAUAUCUAAGGAAAUCACUGGGUUAGUAUUUGCAAGUAUUAACAUUGUUUUGACCGUGUAAAUAUUGUUGACAGUGAACUGUGAUUACAUUUCUCUGUACAUCUUUUGCUCUCUGGAGUUAAUAAUUGCUUUAUCUUCUUAUUUUAUGUAUAUAUAUACUUUAUACAUAUAUAUGUAUAUAUAUAUAUAUAAAAUAGUUCAUCCCUGAGCUUCCCUUUGUGUGAUGAACACACUGGUCAUCUCUCUGUGGCCUUUCGUUUCAUGUGAGGACAUCUUCCUGGAACUAUCAUCAUGCUCCAAACUCAGACAGGCUUCUCAGGCCCACUGUUGUGACCCCAGAGCUUCCUUGAACCCCCUCUUGGGAAUCUUCUUUCCUUGUAUCUUGUGUUGGAUCCUCUGUUUCUUGGAGCUUGUAUCUUCUUUCUUGGCCAGUUCUUCCUUUUGUUGGAGCAUAUCCUCCAGUGGCUUUGGGAGAAAGGGUUCAUGGCAGGUAAAUAUUUAGAGACCUUGCAAUAAUGUCUCUGCUCUCCCGUUGCACCUGAUGGCUUAUUCAGGCAUAGAACUAUACUUUGAAAAUAUAUUUUUUGUGUGUGCGUGUUAGAGUCUUCCCUGAAAUGUCUGGUGAUUGCUGCACUCAAGUAAUGUGUACAUGGGUGAAGCUUGUCAACUAGGAGUCUCACUGUGGGGUGAUUCUGCAGACACUUGAAUGUUUCACUAAGGCAUCUUUUUUUUUUUUUUUUUUUAAACAUUCCGGAAUCCUAUUCCAUUCAUACAUGAUAGCUAAGGUUUGAUGAUACAGAAAAACUUUUUUUUUUUUUUUUAGAGAGAGAGAGAGGAUUUUUUUAAUAUUUAUUUUUUAGUUUUCGGUGGACACAGCAUCUUUAUUUUUUAUUUUUAUGUGGUGCUGAGGAUCGAACCCAGCGCCUCGCGCAUGCCAGGCGAGCAUGCUACCGCUUGAGCCACAUCCCCAGCCCCUCACUAAGGCAUCUUGCUAGACCAUUCUCUGCAGUCUUUCUGGCCAGUUUCCCCAGCAGUGAAUCCUCUAAUCUUCUGCCUGUGGUGUUAAAGCCCCAUUGCCAACAUUAUGGGAGCAGAGAAGGGGGAAGGGGACUGUGGAAUCUCACAAUUCAGAGCACAUACUUUUUAAAAAAAAUUAUUUUAAUCUGUUAUGUAUGACAGCAGAACACAUUACAAUUCAUAUUACAAAUAUAGAGCACAAUUUUUCAUAUCUCUGGUGGUACACAAAGUAGAGUCACGCCACUCGUGUUCAGAGCACAGACUUUUAGUUCUCUGUUUCCAGAGUGUAUGGCAAGCAAGUUCUCAGCUGUGCCCAGUGUCCUCCAGUCCAGUCCCUCUAUGAUUCAACCUUUCCUCAUAGGUGCACACAGGGAUGAGAAGAAACAACGGGAGUCAGAGUGUUUCUGGCACAAAUGUUCAACACGUUUAUUUUCAGCACAUCUGUACCCAAGUUCUACAGAGGGCACCAGCAUCUGUUUUUUCUAAGGUUUUGUGGUAUAGCUGGUUUGCCUCUUUGGGUUCCCCUUUUGGGAGUUUAGAUUUCAGUUUUAUAUUCUGUGUUAAAUUCAUCACUUUUCAUUCACCAGCUUUUUUAUUUCCUUCUGUCGUCUCUGUUCCUGUUCUCUCUUUGUCUACAGUGGUGUGCUGGUAAACAGUCCACAAAUGACUCUUGGAUAAAGUGAGGUACCUGAUUUGCAGCAGUCUGACUGCCGAGGUAUAAAUACUUCUACUGUGACCAAUUUGAAGGCACGGAAAGAACAUCUCUGGAUAUGCAGUUGGAAAGAAAUGCAAAGUAGCACCUCAGUAUGUGAGAUUUCUACUAACCCGGGACAACUGAUGUGAGCAAUGCUGGUUAGUAACCUCUAGAGAAAACAUAGUUAUAAAAGUAUUAGAAAAUUGUAAGUUUUGAGAAUUUAUUAGCUUUGCUUUUAAUGUAUUUUAAAAAUUGUAAGCAUAUAUCAUUUUAGUUUUUUUGAUUUGUUGUGUACUGGGGAUUGAACUCGGGGUCACUCGACCACUGAGCCACAUCCCCAGCCCUAUUUUGUAUUUUAUUUAGAGACAGGGUCUCACUGAGUUGCUUAGCACCUUGCUUUUGCUGAGGCUGGCUUUGAACUCAAGAUCUUUCUGUCUCAGCCUCCUGAGAAGCUGGGAUUAUAGGUGGGCGCCACUGAGCCUGGCCUUGUUUAGUUUUUAAAAUGACUGUUUCACAUCCAGCUAGAAAAAUUCCUAAAAAAAUCUUACAAUCGGCUGGCACAAGUCAAUAUUGGCUGGGCCUAACCUACAUUGGGUUUAUGCCUUUAUAAUGAUUUUAUUGUCUUUUUAGUGUAUUAUUAAUAAACUUUUUUUUUCAAUCAACUGCCGUACAGCAUGCAAUUACUUGGCCUCCUAUUGUUAACAGAAUAGUAAUCCAGCCAAAGUUCACUUGGUCUAAUUGCAGUUCUCAAACCAUGACGAGGAACGGUGUCAAUGAUUGGGCAUGAGGUCUCACAGGUGAAGGCAGUGACUGCACCAACUCCCAAUGUGAUCUCAGUUUUGAAAAAGAACAUUUACUGUGUCUGUGUUUCUUAGCAACUCUCUGAAGUGGCGCCCAGCAGCUCCUCACUCUAAACCUGACAACCAGGAAGAGUUUAACAAAGCCAAACACCUGCAUAGAGCCUUUUAUUAGAGGAGCCCACAGCAGUUCACCAACGGUGCCUCAUUUAGUCUCGCUGUUCCUCCCAGUGGGAGGAGGAGAGGAAUCUCAUCAGCCCCAUUUUACAGAUGGUCAAGAAGAGGCCUGACAGCAGAUCAACACCAGCUCAGGCAAGAUCAACAGAGUCUUCUUGUUGCCUGAAAAUCUAGCAUGCUCUCUCUCCAUAGCAACAGAAUCUUGUGCACUAAGUUAUGUUUCCUGAGUCUAGGCAGGUGGACGAUUCAGUUUUACUAUCUGAAAUAUCAAGGAGUUCUUUCUUUGUUGGUAACAGGAUUGAACCCAUGGUUGCUUAACCACUGAGCUAAGUCCCCAGCCCUUUUUACUUUUAAUUUUGAGAGAGUCUUGAUAAGUUGCUGAGGACCUCCCUAAGUUGCUGAGGCUGGCUUUGAAAUUGUGAUCCUCCUGCCUCAGCCUCCAGAGCUGCUAGGAUUACUGGUGUGCGCUACCACGCCUGGCUUCAAGUAGUUCUUUUAAAUCCUAAAUUGGAUGAUUCUGGUUCUGACCAUUGUGAACCCUCCCACACCUUCUGUUGUGUGUGAUUUGUAGUAUUUUAUGGUAUGUUACCC